UACGGGAGGCAGCAGUGGGGAAUAUUGCACAAUGGGCGCAAGCCUGAUGCAGCCAUGCCGCGUGUAUGAAGAAGGCCUUCGGGUUGUAAAGUACUUUCAGUCGUGAGGAAGGUGUUAAGGUUAAUAACCUUAGCAAUUGACGUUAGCGACAGAAGAAGCACCGGCUAACUCCGUGCCAGCAGCCGCGGUAAUACGGAGGGUGCGAGCGUUAAUCGGAAUUACUGGGCGUAAAGGGCACGCAGGCGGUUAAUUAAGUUGGAUGUGAAAUCCCCGGGCUUAAACCUGGGAAUGGCAUUCAAGACUGGUUAGCUAGAGUCUUGUAGAGGGGGUAGAAUUCCAUGUGUAGCGGUGAAAUGCGUAGAGAUGUGGAGGAAUACCGGUGGCGAAGGCGGCCCCUGGACAAAGACUGACGCUCAUGUGCGAAAGCGUGGGGAGCAAACAGGAUUAGAUACC
rnacentral:rRNA from 1 species